rnacentral:rRNA from 1 species
GAUUAACGCUGGCGGCGUGCAUAACACAUGCAAGUCGAACGAUGAAACUUAGUAGACUUCUUCGGAAAGACACUAAGCGGAUUAGUGGCGAGCGGGUGAGUAACGCGUGAGUAACCUGCCUUACACAAGGGGAUAGCCUUUGGAAACGAAGAAUAAUACCCUAUAAAACCAUAAAAGCACAUGCUAGAAUGGUCAAAGUGAUAGCGGUGUAAGAUGGACUUGCGUCUGAUUAGCUAGUUGGUGAGAUAAAAGCUCACCAAGGCAACGAUCAGUAGCCGGCUUGAGAGAGUGUACGGCCACAUUGGGACUGAGACACGGCCCAGACUCCUACGGGAGGCAGCAGUGGGGAAUUUUGCACAAUGGGGGAAACCCUGAUGCAGCGACGCCGCGUGAUUUAGAAGGCCUUCGGGUUGUAAAAAUCUUUUGUAUAGGAAGAAAAUGACAGUACUAUACGAAUAAGGUCCGGCUAAUUACGUG